GCAGUAAAAAGUUAUGAGGUAUAAUACAACGUAAGGUCGACGAAAAAAGCGUCAAGUAAAAACGCAUUGUUAGAUAUAAUUCGAAAAGUAGUUGUUAGAUCUCAAAUAAAUUUAAAUGGGACCAAUCGGCACACACCACCUUUCGAUUAAAACAAAAUUCGUCGAAAUCGGUCUACCUGGUCAAAAGUUCUGAUGUAACAUACAUAAAAAAAAAAAAAAAAAAUACAGUCGAAUUGAGAACCUCCUCCUUUUUUGGAAGUCGGUUAAAAAAA
rnacentral:misc_RNA from 1 species